CCACCACUGGAACUUGAGACCACGGUCCAGAACUUCUUACGGGAAGGCAAGCAGUGGGGGAAUAUUGCACCAAUGGGCGCAAAGCCUUGAUGCAGCCCAUGCCGGCGUGUGGUGAAGAAGGCCUCUCGGGUUGUAAAAGCAACUUUUCAGCGAAGAGAGGAAGGGGUUGAAGUUAAUACGGCUCAAUCAUUUGACGUUACCCCGCAGAAGGAAGCACCGGCCUAACUUCCGUGCCAGCAGGCCGCGGGUAAUACGGAAGGGUGGCAAGCGUAAUCGGAAUUUACUGGGCGGUAAAGCGCACGGCAGGCGGUUUGUUAAGUUCAGGAUGUGAAAUCCCCGGGGCUCAACCCUGGGAAACUGCAUUCUGAUACUGGCAAGCCUGAAGUCUCGUAGGAGGGGGGUAGAAUUCCAAGUGUAACGGUGAAAUGCGUAGAAGUCCGGGAGGAUUCCGGUGGCGAAGGCGGCCCCCUGGACGAAGACUGACGCUCAGGUGCGAAAGCGUGGGGAGCAAACAGG
rnacentral:rRNA from 1 species